AUAGAUAUAUAGAACUAAGUAUAUCUGCAGUAAAAAUAUACAUUCCUGUUUGACUUUUUUCUUUGCAUGAUAUUUCUUUCUGUUGUUGUAUUAUUUCUAAUUUAUAAAUAAUUAUUCAAAUGCUUUUGAUUUUUCAUAAGUAUCAUUUUAGAAUGUAUUGCAUUUUAAUGUUUGUUCACGUAAUCUGCUUGUUCUGCAUAACUCUGAGCUAAAUUUUUCCUACUUGCUCAUUUAGAAAUGAGUAAACAGCUGCCAAGUUUCUUGAUAGCUAUUUGUCUUAAUUUCUAGUUUGGUACAGUUUUAAACCUGCUUUAAUUGUCAAUUAGAAUUAAAGCAUUAAAAUUUCACUUAAUUGAGAAUCAUAGAGGUCACAAAACAUUUUUAUAUAAUAUGCCAUCUAUUGGACAUGCCAUUAUACUGUGACUUAUUCUGUCAGGUAUAGGUAUCGCUAUCAAAAAAUAAAUGUUUCAAAAACAUAAAAGUAUUUUCCUGGUAAAUUAAGAAGCCAGACAAUUUCCCUCGGGAAUUUUCUAAUGUAUUAACAUUUUUAUGGACUUAUUUUCUACAUCUUCAGUUAAAACAUGUAUCUUCUACAAGAACAAUUAUGAAGACUAUUGGUUUCUUCCUUAGACUGAAGAUGGGAAACUAAUCAUUGAAGGAAUGCUGGAUAUUUUGGGGGGAGUAAAACAGCCUAUACAGCUGAAGAUGCAAGAUGAAAAGCAGAUCUCUUCUUUUACCACACUGACUUUACCAGAUACUUUUUCCACCAAAGGACUAUUUAUCUUAUCACAGCAGUACUCUGAAGCUACAUGCAGAUGAAGAGCCAGAACCCCCAUUGCUCUAUAGAUGUAUGAGUGAAGCAGCCCUGGUGAGAAAAAGAACAAAGCCUCCAAUGAUAGACAGAAAAGAACAACAGUUCCACAGGGCUUCUAUUAAUGGACACUUCUAUAACCAUAAAGUGAGUUACAAUUCCACU
rnacentral:lncRNA from 1 species